UUCUUUAUCCACUCACCUGCUGAUGGACACUUAGGUUGCAUCCACAUCUUGCUGUUGUAAACAUUGCUGGUGUGAACACGGGGGUGCCUGUCUCUUUUCCAAGUAGAGUUUUCUCCAGAUAUGUGCCCAGGAGUGGGAUUGCCGGAUCACUGCAGCGACUUUCUACCUGCAAAUCUGGGUAAGUUAAUUGUCAUUUCCAAGCCUCUGUUUUCUUGAAGUAGUUGAGUACUUAAAUUUCUCCAUUUCCUUAGCAUGAGAAACUGGUGAAAGAAUUCUGUCUCACCUCAACUGGAAUUCAGCGAGGUCAUGAAUGUGAAGUGAUGAGCCUGAUGACGAGGACAAAGGCCUGCUCUGUGUGUCAGCACCGUUCUGAGUGAUGAGCACAGGCUGAGUGCCUGCACCCGCACGGCAGGUGCCGUGGUUAUGCCCAGUCUACAGAAGAGGGAGGCGACUUGCCUGAGGUCGCAGAGGUAGCAAGUGGUCCAGCCAGCAUUUGAAUGUGGGCGAGCCUGGCUGCAAGGCCACGGACUAGAAGAGAAACACACUGUGGGACCCGGAGAUGCUUCUCUUCCCCCUGGUUACUGCAGGUGGGGCUUCUGCCAGCCCACGUCGGGCAAGAGAGCAGGUGUCUGUCGCUGAUGAGGGAUGUUAAAUCCCUGGCACCCAGCCAGCCUGAAUGCAGACUGAAUACACUCCCGCUCCCAUCCCAAGGAAACCACCAAGCCAAGGGUCCCCUGCGAAUGGAAACAGUGGUGCCGGGUACCAGCAGCGCCUGCCGCGUGAGUGAGACUUCAUUUUCCUCCUGCCCGACUCCCACUGCGCCAAGGCUCAUUUGACGUGUCCAUUUUUAACACAGCCCUAGAUUUCGA